rnacentral:rRNA from 1 species
GACGAACGCUGGCGGCGUGCUUAACACAUGCAAGUCGAACGGAAAGGCCCUGCUUGCAGGGUACUCGAGUGGCGAACGGGUGAGUAACACGUGGGUGAUCUGCCCUGCACUUCGGGAUAAGCCUGGGAAACUGGGUCUAAUACCGGAUAGGAGCCAUUUUUAGUGUGAUGGUUGGAAAGUUUUUUCGGUGUAGGAUGAGCUCGCGGCCUAUCAGCUUGUUGGUGGGGUAAUGGCCUACCAAGGCGGCGACGGGUAGCCGGCCUGAGAGGGUGGACGGCCACAUUGGGACUGAGAUGCGGCCGAGACGCCUACGGGAGGCAGCAGGGGGGAAUAUUGCACAAGGGGCGCAAGCCUGAUGCAGCGACGCCGCGUGGGGGAUGACGGCCUUCGGGUUGUAGACUCCUUUCGCUAGGGACGAAGCUUUUUGUGACGGUACCUAGAGAAGAAGCACCGGCUAACUACGUG